CCUACGGGCGGCAGCAGUGAGGAAUAUUGGUCAAUGGGCGCGAGCCUGAACCAGCCAAGUAGCGUGAAGGAUGACUGCCCUACGGGUCGUAAACUUCUUUUAUAAAGGAAUAAAGUGAGGCACGUGUGCCUUUUUGUGUGUACUUUAUGAAUAAGGAUCGGCUAACUCCGUGCCAGCAGCCGCGGUAAUACGGAGGAUCCGAGCGUUAUCCGGAUUUAUUGGGUUUAAAGGGAGCGUAGAUGGGUUGUUAAGUCAGUUGUGAAAGUUUGCGGCUCAACCGUAAAAUUGCAGUUGAUACUGGCAGUCUUGAGUACAGUUGAGGUAGGCGGAAUGCGUGGUGUAGCGGUGAAAUGCUUAGAUAUCACGAAGAACUCCGAUUGCGAAGGCAGCUUACUAACCUGCCACUGACAUUGAUGCACGAAAGCGUGGGUAUCAAACAGGAUUAGAUACCCGGGUAGUC
rnacentral:rRNA from 1 species